CCUACGGGAGGCAGCCGUGGGGAAUAUUGCCCAAUGGGGGAAACCCUGAUGCCGCGACGCCGCGUGAGUGCAGAAGUAAUUCGUUAUGUAAAGCUCUAUCAGCAGGGAAGAAAAUGACGGUACCUGAGUAAGAAGCCACGGCUACCUACGUGCCAGCAGCCGCGGUAAUAAGUAGGGGACAAGCGUUAUCCGGAUUUACUGGGGGUAAAGGGAGCGUAGACGGCAGUGCAAGUCUGGAGUGAAAGGCGGGGGCUCAAUCCCCGGACUGCUCUGGAAACUGUACGGCUGGAGUGCAGGAGAGGUAAGUGGAAUUCCUAGUGUAGCGGUGAAAUGCGUAGAUAUUAGGAGGAACACCAGUGGCGAAGGCGGCUUACUGGACUGUAACUGACGUUGAGGCUCGAAAGCGUGGGGAGCAAACAGGAUUAGAUACCCUAGUAGUC
rnacentral:rRNA from 1 species